UACGGAGGGGGCUAGCGUUGUUCGGAAUUACUGGGCGUAAAGGGCGCGUAGGCGGUGUGUCAAGUCAGGCGUGAAAGCCCCGGGCUCAACCUGGGAACCGCGCUUGAGACUGGCACGCUAGAGUUCGGGAGAGGAUGGUGGAAUUCCCAGUGUAGAGGUGAAAUUCGUAGAUAUUGGGAAGAACACCGAUGGCGAAGGCAGCCAUCUGGACCGACACUGACGCUGAGGCGCGAAAGCGUGGGGAGCAAACAGGG
rnacentral:rRNA from 1 species